CUGACGGGACGCGAUGGGUGGAUGUUGGCAUCGACGCCCUGGCGCCCAUGAAGAGUGAUGCGGAAAAGGGCGCCCGCGUGACCGUCAG
rfam:Archaeoglobus fulgidus DSM 4304, complete genome.